rnacentral:rRNA from 1 species
GAACGCUGGCGGCAGGCUUAACACAUGCAAGUCGAACGCCCCGCAAGGGGAGUGGCAGACGGGUGAGUAACGCGUGGGAACGUGCCCUUCGCUUCGGAAUAGUCCCCGGGAAACUGGGUUUAAUACCGAAUACGCCGUACUGGGAGAGAUUUAUCGGCGAAGGAUCGGCCCGCGUUAGAUUAGGUAGUUGGCGGUGUAAUGGACCACCAAGCCUACGAUCUAUAGCUGGUCUGAGAGGAUGAUCAGCCACACUGGGACUGAGACACGGCCCAGACUCCUACGGGAGGCAGCAGUGGGGAAUCUUGGACAAUGGGCGCAAGCCUGAUCCAGCCAUGCCGCGUGAGUGAAGAAGGCCUUAGGGUUGUAAAACUCUUUCGCCGGAGAAGAUAAUGACGGUAUCCGGAGAAGAAGCCCCGGCUAACUUCGUGCCAGCAGCCGCGG